GCCGGGUGUGGUGGCGCACACCUGAAGUCCCAGCUACUCGGGAGGCUGAGGCAGGAGAAUCGCUUGAACCUGGGAGGCAGAGGUUGCAGUGAGCCGAGGUUGUGCCACUGCAUUCCAGCCUGGGUGACAGAGUGAGACUUUGUCUCAA
rnacentral:SRP_RNA from 1 species